rnacentral:rRNA from 1 species
UACGAAGGGGGCUAGCGUUGCUCGGAAUCACUGGGCGUAAAGCGCACGUAGGCGGGCUCUUAAGUCGGUGGUGAAAUCCUGGAGCUCAACUCCAGAACUGCCUCCGAUACUGAGAGUCUUCGAGUCCGGGAGAGGUGAGUGGAACUGCGAGUGUAGAGGUGAAAUUCGUAGAUAUUCGCAAGUACACCAGUGGCGAAGGCGGCUCACUGGCCCGGUACUGACGCUGAGGUGCGAAAGCGUGGGGAGCAAACAGG